AGAGUUUGAUCAUGGCUCAGAUUGAACGCUGGCGGCAUGCCUAACACAUGCAAGUCGAACGGUAACAGAACUAGCUUGCUAGUUGCUGACGAGUGGCGGACGGGGGAGUAAUGUAUAGGAACUUGCCUAGUAGUGGGGGACAACCUGUGGAAACGCAGGCUAAUACCGCAUAAUCUCUACGGAGGAAAGUGGGGGACCUUUCGGGGCCUCAUGCUAUUAGAUAGGCCUAUAUUGGAUUAGCUAGUUGGUGAGGUAAUGGCUCACAAAGGCGACGAUCCAUAGCUGGUUUGAGAGAAUGAUCAGCCACACUGGGACUGAGACACGGCCCAGACUCCUACGGGAGGCAGCAGUGGGGAAUAUUGCACAAUGGAGGAAACUCUGAUGCAGCAAUGCCGCGUGUGUGAAGAAGGCCUUAGGGUUGUAAAGCACUUUCAGACGCGAGGAAAAGUUAAAAGUUAAUACCUUUUGACCUUGACGUUAACGUCAGAAGAAGCACCGGCUAACUCCGUGCCAGCAGCCGCGGUAAUACGGAGGGUGCAAGCGUUAAUCGGAAUUACUGGGCGUAAAGCGCGCGUAGGUGGCUAUAUAAGUCAGAUGUGAAAGCCCUGGGCUCAACCUAGGAACUGCAUUUGAAACUGUAUGGCUAGAGUAUGGUAGAGGAGUGUGGAAUUUCAGGUGUAGCGGUGAAAUGCGUAGAGAUCUGAAGGAACAUCAGUGGUGAAGGCGACACUCUGGACCAAUACUGACGCUGAGGUGCGAAAGCGUGGGUAGCAAACAGGAUUAGAUCCCCUGGUAGUCCACGCCGUAAACGAUGUCUACUAGCCGUUGGGUUCCUUGAAUACUUAGUGACGAAGCUAACGCGAUAAGUUGACCGCCUGGGGAGUACGGCCGCAAGGCUAAAACUCAAAUGAAUUGACGGGGGCCCGCACAAGCGGUGGAGCAUGUGGUUUAAUUCGAUCCAACGCGAAGAACCUUACCAGGUCUUGACAUCCAGAGAAUCCUUUAGAGAUAGAGGAGUGCCUUCGGGAAUUCUGAGACAGGUGCUGCAUGGCUGUCGUCAGCUCGUGUCGUGAGAUGUUGGGUUAAGUCCCGUAACGAGCGCAACCCUUAUCCUUAUUUGCCAUCAUUUAGUUGGGGACUAUAAGGAGACUGCCGGUGACAAACCGGAGGAAGGUGGGGACGACGUCAAGUCAUCAUGGCCCUUACGACUUGGGCUACACACGUGCUACAAUGGCCAGUACAAAGGGCUGCCACCCCGCGAGGGUGAGCUAAUCUCAUAAAACUGGUCGUAGUCCGGAUCGCAGUCUGCAACUCGACUGCGUGAAGUCGGAAUCGCUAGUAAUCGUGGAUCAGAAUUCCACGGUGAAUACGUUCCCGGGCCUUGUACACACCGCCCGUCACACCAUGGGAGUGGGUUGCAAAAGAAGUAGCUAGGCUAACCUUCGGGGGGUCGCUCACCACUUUGUGAUUCAUGACUGGGGUGAAGUCGUAACAAGGUA
rnacentral:rRNA from 1 species